GGUCUUAUGGUCUAGUGGUAUGAUUCUCGCUUAGGGGAAGCGUCUUACGACGCUCGCAAACCCAAGCAUAGCUUGCGAGAGGCCCCGCGUUCGAGUCGCGGUAAGACCC